rnacentral:rRNA from 1 species
GACGAACGCUGGCGGCGUGCUUAACACAUGCAAGUCGAGCGAGGCCCUCCUUCGGGAGGUGUCCUAGCGGCGAACGGGUGAGUAACACGUGGGCAACCUGCCCCCGGCUCUGGGAUAACUCCAAGCAAUUGGGGCUAAUACCGGAUAUGACCGCUGACCGCAUGGUCUGGUGGUGGAAAGAUUUAUCGGCUGGGGAUGGGCCCGCGGCCUAUCAGCUUGUUGGUGGGGUAGUGGCCUACCAAGGCGACGACGGGUAGCCGGCCUGAGAGGGUGACCGGCCACACUGGGACUGAGACACGGCCCAGACUCCUACGGGAGGCAGCAGUGGGGAAUAUUGCGCAAUGGGCGGAAGCCUGACGCAGCGACGCCGCGUGGGGGAUGACGGCCUUCGGGUUGUAAACCUCUUUCAGCAGGGACGAAGCGCAAGUGACGGUACCUGCAGAAGAAGCACCGGCCAACUACGUGCCAGCCGCCGCAGUAACAC